rnacentral:rRNA from 1 species
CCGGACCGGCGCACGGGUGAGUAACGCGUAUGCAACUACCUAUCAGAGGGGGAUAACCGGACGAAAGUCGGACUAAUACCGCAUGAAGCAGGGGCCCCGCAUGGGGAUAUUUGCUAAAGAUUCAUCGCUGAUAGAUAGCAUGCGUUCCAUUAGGCAGUUGGCGGGGUAACGGCCCACCAAACCGACGAUGGAUAGGGGUUCUGAGAGGAAGGUCCCCCACAUUGGUACUGAGACACGGACCAA